UGUCACUAUUUUAUUAGUUACGUUUUUUUUUUUCUCUUUUCUUCUUUUGCUUCUCACUCUCUUUCGAUACAAUCAAAACGAUGAAAAACUGACGAAAUCAAAUCGAUCGUAGUUCUGAUCGGUUUCCAGAAACAACUGAUCUCGCCUCGUCUUCUUCUUCUUCCUGAGACGUUAUCGAGAUCGGAUGAUGAAUACACUGGAGAAAGAGAUCUCGCCUCGUCGUCUUCUUCUUCGAUCAAGUCUUCGACCUAUGGAGAAGGCUGUGGAAUACAAGAGAGCCCUCACAGCUGCCAAAUUAGAAAAGGCAGAGAAUUCAUAUGGAGACAUCACUGAUAAGGUCGUUCCGGAUUUUGGAUGUGGUUGUGGUACUUUAAGUGUUGCUGCUGCUCUUCUAGAUUCAGCGUCUGUGAUUGGAUUUGAUAUCGAUCCUCAGUCUCUUGAAACAGCAACACUAAAUGCAGAGGAGCUUGAGUUUUGCAGGUGGAGAUAGAUUUCAUUCAGUGUGACAUUACAAAGUUAGAGUUAAAAGAUCGUCGAUGCACCUGAAUUGCUGUGUUGGAUCUUCGUUUAUCAUCUGUAUCAUCUGUAUUUAGAUCAUCGUCGAGUCGAGGCACUGGGAUUGCUAUGUUGAAUCUUAUCUUCUCGUCUUUCAUCUAUUUAGUAUGUGGAAACACAGUUAUGCUGAAUUAUUGUACCUGGACUUGGUGGAGAUGUGAUCAGGUUUAGGGGACACACCAAGUUUUUGCAAAUCAUAGCUGCACAAACUUUUUAGCAGGCAGAGAGGGAGAUGGGUGUAUCUAAGGAGCAAGUCGAAGCUUCAUUGACUUCAAAACUCAAUCAUGUUCAUCUUGUAAGGCAAAUUUGAUCCCCUUACCUACAAUCUUUUUUCUGUGUCUUGGCUACUGAAUCUGACCAAAGUAAGAAAAACUUCAGAGUUUUGAUUUAUCAGGCAUCCUCUGUUCUUCCAUAUAUUGGGGGAAACUGGGAGUUGCAGAUCAAUGACAAUUUAAAAUCUUUUGAUGAAAUAUAGAACUUUACCAAAUUGGAUUCAUACUCAUGUAGCUCUAAGAGAAAUAUUGUGUUUCUUUUGUUCUAAGAUUGAAUCAUACACUCACUUACGUGGUUCGUGUGUACGUGAUUAUUGAAGCAACAAGUUUACUUUGUGAUCUUACUCUCUAUACGUCACUAAUUUGGCUUCAUUUAUAUGUAAAACUAGGAAGUCAUCGAUACAUCUGGAGGCUGCGGGGCGAGUUUUGUUGUUGAGGUUGUCUCGGAACAGUUUGAAGAGAAGAGAUUGCUUGAAAGGCACCGCAAUA